rnacentral:lncRNA from 1 species
UGUGAAUUAAAAUAUUUGAUAUUUUUCGGGCGGUCACGAAAUAAUGUAGAAUUUUGAUAUUUUCUUCGUAUCGAUAUUCUAAAAUGCCAUUUGCGAUUCAAGUAUUUUUUUGAGGUCUUUUUAUGUCAUUUUAUUGAUUCUUAUAUUUUUCAAUUUUUUACGAAUUAAAAUUUUUGUUAUUUUUUUGGGCAGUUACGAAAAAAUGUAAAUUUUUGAUAUUUUAUUCAUAUCGGUAUUUAAGAUGACUGGUGUAAUUUGGAAAUUUUAGGAGGUGUUUUUAUGUCUUUUUCUUGAUUUUCAUAUUUUUCGAUAGUUAACGAAUUAAAAU